AUCAGCCGAUUGAACGCUACACCAAGCUCCGCUUGGUAUUUGUCCCUCGGACUAUAUAUUUCUAGAAGCGACCCUACUACCGUCAAGUCAAUUAGUACAUCUCUUCGAAGCUAUUUAAUGCGAUAAAAAUUUGUACUGGCUCCCUUUUGCCAUUGCCACGUAAAUCAGGCACAAUAUUGGCAUACAUUAUCGUGUUUGUGUGUAGGCCGUUAAACAAUGGCCCCUACCUCGGGAAGAAUAUUUUAAUCAAGCACCUGGAAAAGAAAACCUUCUACCGCUACCUUGGAGAGCGAAUUAGCUUACAACCGUAUCCUGAUGCAGUAGAAUAAAUUAAACAAGACAGCCCUACAGAAACAAGACUGCCCAACAACGUAGCUCUAGACUUCCCUUAACUACCGGCGACGACAAAUUCUACAGGGAUUGGGGACCUCCUUUAGGAACUGUAACGGGAGGACUUAAAGCUGAGUAAAUUUUUACCUUUAUAACUUUUGUACCGAUUACCAGCGGGGUCUCGGUCACGGGCUUAGAAAAUUAACUUGGUUAUCAGUAUACAUUAAAAAUGAUUAGGUAGACUUUUUAUUUCCUGUACCUUUUCUGGGAUGGGUGUGAAGGAAGAAUGAACAGGGAACGAACCCAGGGCUGAGCAGUCGGGCAGGGCACCAUUCUGAUGGAUGGAACGGUGGACGUUUUUCUUUUGAAUAUCCUAAGGGAUGUUCGAGGAAUUCCUCCCAUCGUUUCUCCCAACAGUGUGGUGUUGCUUAAUGCCCUGGUCUUGUUAUGAUCAGGAUGUUACAUUAUAAUCAAACUAAGCAAUAACUUUUUUAAAAAUAAAACAAGACUAUGGAAUUUUAUCUUUCGUAUAAAAACAAUUUGUGAAAUAGUACUUUCGAUCCGAAAUUGUAAAGUGUUAGUGAAGUGUCGCUCUACCAGAGUUCCAGGCGAGCUACAUAAAGCUCCAGCCAAGAGUACAACCGCAGAUCAUCAGGUAUAUGUAACAAACUGUUUAAUUCUUUUUCUUCGAACACUUGAAAACGUGAAGGACUUAAUAUAUUCUUGCCAAUUUAGUUUUGCAUUUUAACAAAUUGUUUUUCUAUAAAUAAACAAUGAAUAUGUUUUAAACUUA